rnacentral:rRNA from 1 species
UACGUAGGGUGCGAGCGUUAAUCGGAAUUACUGGGCGUAAAGCGUGCGCAGGCGGUUUUGUAAGCCAGAUGUGAAAGCCCCGGGCUUAACCUGGGAAUGGCAUUUGGGACUGCAAGGCUGGAGUGUGGCAGAGGGGGAUGGAAUUCCGCGUGUAGCAGUGAAAUGCGUAGAUAUGCGGAGGAACACCGAUGGCGAAGGCAAUCCCCUGGGCCUGCACUGACGCUCAUGCACGAAAGCGUGGGGAGCAAACAGG